GGCCUCAUAGCUCAUUUGGCUAGAGCGUUGGUUGUACUAAAGCCUUCCCCUUGCUGGCGUGGGUUCGAAUCCCACCGAGGCCG
rnacentral:tRNA from 1 species